GACGGGGGGGGCAAGUGUUCUUCGGAAUGACUGGGCGUAAAGGGCACGUAGGCGGUGAAUCGGGUUGAAAGUGAAAGUCGCCAAAAAGUGGCGGAAUGCUCUCGAAACCAAUUCACUUGAGUGAGACAGAGGAGAGUGGAAUUUCGUGUGUAGAGGUGAAAUUCGUAGAUAUUCGGAAGAACACCAGUGGCGAAGGCGACUCACUGGACACGUAUUGACGCUGAGGUGCGAAAGCGUGGGGAGCAAACAGG
rnacentral:rRNA from 1 species